CAGAGUGAACGCUGGCGGCGUGCCUAAUACAUGCUUUUCGAACGAUGAAGCUCUAGCUUGCUAGAGUGGAUUAGUGGCGCACGGGUGAGUAAUGCAUAGAUAACAUGCCCUUUAGUCUAGGAUAGCCAUUGGAAACGAUGAUUAAUACUGGAUACUCCUUACGAGGGAAAGUUUUUCGCUAAAGGAUUGGUCUAUGUCCUAUCAGCUUGUUGGUGAGGUAAUGGCUCACCAAGGCUAUGACGGGUAUCCGGCCUGAGAGGGUGAACGGACACACUGGAACUGAGACACGGUCCAGACUCCUACGGGAGGCAGCAGUAGGGAAUAUUGCUCAAUGGGGGAAACCCUGAAGCAGCAACGCCGCGUGGAGGAUGAAGGUUUUCGGAUUGUAAACUCCUUUUGUUAGAGAAGAUAAUGACGGUAUCUAACGAAUAAGCACCGGCUAACUCCGUGCCAGCAGCCGCGGUAAUACGGAGGGUGCAAGCGUUACUCGGAAUCACUGGGCGUAAAGAGCGCGUAGGCGGGAUAGCAAGUCAGAUGUGAAAUCCUAUGGCUUAACCAUAGAACUGCAUUUGAAACUGUUAUUCUAGAGUAUGGGAGAGGUAGGCGGAAUUCUUGGUGUAGGGGUAAAAUCCGUAGAGAUCAAGAGGAAUACUCAUUGCGAAGGCGACCUGCUAGAACAUAACUGACGCUGAUGCACGAAAGCGUGGGGAGCAAACAGGAUUAGAUACCCUGGUAGUCCACGCCCUAAACGAUGAAUGCUAGUUGUUGUGGAGCUUGUCUCUGCAGUAAUGCAGCUAACGCAUUAAGCAUUCCGCCUGGGGAGUACGGUCGCAAGAUUAAAACUCAAAGGAAUAGACGGGGACCCGCACAAGCGGUGGAGCAUGUGGUUUAAUUCGAAGAUACACGAAGAACCUUACCUAGGCUUGACAUUGAUAGAAUCCGCUAGAGAUAGUGGAGUGCUAGCUUGCUAGAACUCGAAAACAGGUGCUGCACGGCUGUCGUCAGCUCGUGUCGUGAGAUGUUGGGUUAAGUCCCGCAACGAGCGCAACCCUCGUCCUUAGUUGCUAACUAUUCGGUAGAGCACUCUAAGGAGACUGCCUUCGCAAGGAGGAGGAAGGUGAGGAUGACGUCAAGUCAUCAUGGCCCUUACGCCUAGGGCUACACACGUGCUACAAUGGGAAGCACAAAGAGAUGCAAUAUUGUGAAAUGGAGCAAAUCUAUAAAACUUCUCUCAGUUCGGAUUGUAGUCUGCAACUCGACUACAUGAAGCUGGAAUCGAAAGUAAUCGUAAAUCAGCUAUGUUACGGUGAAUA
rnacentral:rRNA from 1 species